CGCCCCAGCAAGCAUCCAGGAGAGCCUGCCUCUUGGAAUAGAAAUCAGACAUCCCACAGGAACUCUGAGGUUUUCCCACUGCUGCCAGAUGUAUGCAAGGAACACGUGAUCUUCGUAAUUCCAGAGCGGGGCAAACUGCUUGGCACCUCUUCAAUAGGUGACAUUCAAUGAUAGAUCUCUGGCUUCCUGCUCUGUUUGUUCUGGUUGCCCUGGAAAGCCUGCUGCUCAGCCCAUGCCCCGGGACUUCCUCCACCCUCACCAGGACAUUCUUUCCAUCUCUUGUCUCCUGUGUGCAAGUCCCUUUCUCCUGGAUUCCAUGUCUUGAAUGUUUCUUAAUUUACUUCCUCAUUUUGGCAGAGGAUGUCCUCCAGUUGUUUUCUGGGAAUGCUAAUAUGCAAGUGAACCAGUGACCUGCAGUUCUGCCCACACAGGGUUAAUAACCAAUCAGAUUCUCUCUUUUCAAGAUGGUUAACAUAACAGACACCAAGAAAGGGAAGAGGAGCCGACAGCAGAGGGGGAAGCUGAAAAGACGCACAAAGAAUGGCCAUAAAAGAUAUGAGUAUGUUGAGUGAUUAGUGAUCGGAAACUACGAGUGAUAUGGUACAGGUGUUUGUAGAAGAACAGUAAAGCCAUUGAUCAGGCAACCCCAGCUUUCCAGACAGUCACUUUUCCCAGUGGUCAUACCUGGUCUGGAAGAUUCCCCAUCAUCUCGAAUAAAGCUGUUGUUGCUUUUAACUCCAUGGAGAGACCGAAUGGAGUGAGCCCAGCAGGGCAUGCUGGGCAAGAGAGGUCCCCCGAGUCCCAAAUAAGAAUUUCAACUAGUAUAAAACGAGGCAGCGAACCCACACGUGGAAGUCUGAUACCGCUUGCAGAAGGGAAUUGAAUAGAUGUCUCCCUAUUGGUAAGGAUGUGGUUUUAUUGACUUGAAAUAACAAAGCCCGCAAGCAACAACUGAUCAUCCGCGGGAUGCUGCCACAAGGAAUAAUUGAGCACUCAUUCAGACACAGGGGAAACCACUGCCUCUUUCAGUCUUUCUCCCAGAUUCCAACAGUCAGUGUUACAGCAUUUCACCUUGUUCACCUCCCUGAGAAGACGUUGCAGCUCACUCACCCCAGUGGGCACUGGGAGCCUCUGCUCAGGUGGGAGACAGAUGCCCCCCACAUGCACAUCUGGUGUUUAUGAAGCAGAUACUGGGGCUUCAUAAACACAGAAGGGGCAGGGAAGUAGCCCCAGGGCAUAGUGUGGGGCCUCCUGACUAAAAGUAGCUUGCAAACCCCUGCCUAUAACAGCCACUUCCUGGCAGUCAUUGUGCCACUUAGGAGCCCUCCUCACCGCUCUUCCUUUAGUUCCUUCACUCUGUAUAGACCCUGCCAGAGCAGCUCAGGGUGGAGCAGCUGCAGCCAUGGGACCUGCUCCAGGCAAGGCCCUAUGCUACACAGUCCCUGGGGGUGAGGAUUCCAGAGGAGUCAAUUCCCUACCCGCCCUUCCAGGGGAUGGCCGAGAUGAGCGUUCCCACAGGGAAAGUGAAAGUUGCAAGGCUGUUGCGGAAACACCAGGGGUUCCAUCUAGGUCUUGCUGCUCAUCUCACAGAAAGCCAGUCACUGAGACAAGUAUUGUCAGGGAAGAAGGCUUUAUCCAGGUGCUACAGACAGGGUGAACAAGAGAUCAGUCUCAAAUCCAUCAUCAUCAACUGACUAAAAUUAGGGGUUUAUAUAGCAGGGAAGAAAUGUAACUACAUGUGGGAAAACAGGGAUUAACGAGGGGCAAGGAAGAGGAGUUGGCCAACAGGCAGCAGGUGGUCACCUGGGGAAUCAUGAUGGGUGAGGGGUCUGGCUUCUCACUUUCCAGAUGUGGGGAUCUGGUAAAUUUCAGUUUCUUGAUACCGUCUGGGAGGAUUGCUGGCUGGUUUCCUGAGAAAGGAAUUCAGAUGACAUAAAUGUAAAUUUCUCCUUGGGUUUCAAGACUGAGAGGGUCAAUUUCUAGGUUUAUUCAAGAAAAACCAUAAACAUCAGUUCUAUGGGACAAUUGGGCCCAUUUCAAGGCUCUGAGGAUAAGGGUUAAUGAGGGGACAGAGUCGCCUGGAGAAGUUCACUGGGGCCUACAAGAAACUAGAGAGGCUUCCUGGCAAAGCUCUAUGCUGUCUAUCCUCUCUUCUCUCCUUGCAGGAAGAUUCCAGUAUAAUAGACCCGAGGUGAAAAGGCUUUUGUUCAAUAAGUAGAAAACUGAAGGGGGGUGGGAGGCACAUGGAUUUGAACCAGAGACCGCUUGGCCUGCAGGCAAAUGCUGUACCUUCAGUUGCACCCCUCACUUGUUACAGCUGUUUCUGAUAAGCACUUGUGCAGCCCCAUCAGCACCUCGAUUUCUUCUUGGUGAGUCCAUGGGAACAGCCCCACUGCAAACAACCCAUUCCUGCUCUCCUCUUUCCUCUAAACCUCAACCUCCUCCUACCUGGCAGUCCACAGGCCUACAGCUUCUCCUCAGUGGGAAAGACAUCAGCUUGGAAAACCACUUGGAAAGCCAACGUUAUCCUAGAAAAGCUUUUUAAAUGACCCAGCAGGACAAGUCUCCGGAUGGCCUUGGCCAACCCGGUGCUUCCCUCUUUUCUUGGUUGUAGUUCUCAGAAUAACUAGAGAAUGUACUGGGAGUGUUGUCCUGAGAUAAGGAGGAACUGUCCUAAACCUGGACUCUGUUCCCAUCACACCUAGAACAGGAUGUCCUGCAACGCUUUAGCCCAAUGAUCCAAGUUGCCCUUGGGGUAUAAAACUUGACAGCAGAGGGCGUUCAGGGUCCCUCAGCUGCAGUGUGAAGUGGGACACACAGGUGAGACUCCAUCUGCCCUGGGCAGGUUCCUGAGCCUUGGGGGACCAGUUCACCCUACAUCCCAGGCUUCUGUUGUCCCUUGCCUGCCUGUAAG
rnacentral:lncRNA from 1 species